AAACCAUUGACCGCCUGCUGCGUUCUCAAAGAUGCAUACGUAUCGACAUGGCUGAACCUGACAGGAUGGCCCUGGAUGUUCUUGACGGCCUGUACAUGAUGGAGGAGGCAGAAGGAGCACAGGACCCAUUCUUUGGACUCAUGGAAAUGCACCAACUCCCCAGCCCCUAUAAAACACUGCAGACUGAGUUUGUGAUGGCGGAGGUGGAUUCACAGCACUCCCUGGUGCCCAGUCCCAACAGCACACUUGGCAAGGAGGAUUUCAGGUCACCUCCAGCUACGAUCACCAUGAGAGAGAAGGAGCAGUUUGUCAUCCCCACUGCUGAGUAUUUUGAUGGUGUUGACUUUCCUGAAGCCACAGCCAGAGACAUUGACUUGUUGUUGGAUCAGCCAGAGCUGUUUCGCAGAGGUCUGUCACAAGCAUUGA
rnacentral:lncRNA from 1 species